rnacentral:tRNA from 1 species
GGUUUUAUAGUUUAAUUAAAACAUUAAAUUGCAAAUUUAACAAUGGUGAUAAAUAUAAUCCUAAGACUU